rnacentral:rRNA from 1 species
UGGGGAAUAUUGCGCAAUGGGGGGAACCCUGACGCAGCCAUGCCGCGUGAAUGAAGAAGGCCUUAGGGUUGUAAAGUUCUUUCGGUAUUGAGGAAGGUUGAUGUGUUAAUAGCACAUCAAAUUGACGUUAAAUACAGAAGAAGCACCGGCUAACUCCGUGCCAGCAGCCGCGGUAAUACGGAGGGUGCGAGCGUUAAUCGGAAUAACUGGGCGUAAAGGGCACGCAGGCGGUUAUUUAAGUGAGGUGUGAAAGCCCCGGGCUUAACCUGGGAAUUGUAUUUCAGACUGGGUAACUAGAGUACUUUAGGGAGGGGUAGAAUUCCACGUGUAGCGGUGAAAUGCGUAGAGAUGUGGAGGAAUACCGAAGGCGAAGGCAGCCCCUUGGGAAUGUACUGACGCUCAUGUGCGAAAGCGUGGGGAGCAAACAGGAUUAGAUACCCUGGUAGUCCACGCUGUAAACGCUGUCGAUUUGGGGGUUGGGGUUUAACUCUGGCGCCCGUAGCUAACGUGAUAAAUCGACCGCCUGGGGAGUACGGCCGCAAGGUUA